GCACCGGACUGGCGGCCGGCGCUGCGGCGUUCACGACGCUGCGGGCUCUGCUGCGGGGCGCCGCCGCUCUGGCCGGCGUCCGCGGCG
rnacentral:tRNA from 1 species